rnacentral:rRNA from 1 species
GCAAGUCGAGCGCUCUCUUCGGAGGGAGCGGCGGACGGGUGAGUAACGCGUGGGAAUAUGCCCUUCUCUACGGAAUAGCCUCGGGAAACUGAGAGUAAUACCGUAUACGCCCUUCGGGGGAAAGAUUUAUCGGAGAGGGAUUAGCCCGCGUUGGAUUAGGUAGUUGGUGAGGUAACGGCUCACCAAGCCGACGAUCCAUAGCUGGUUUGAGAGGAUGAUC